rfam:Planctomycetes bacterium RIFOXYB12_FTLL_42_10 rifoxyb3_full_scaffold_25141_curated, whole genome shotgun sequence.
CCCAGGGCUAUCGCCCUGGGCUAUACUCUGUCAGCCCUUCGGGCUU